UUUCCGUAGGUGAACCUGCGGAAGGAUCAUCCACAAUAAGUGUUUUAUGGCACUUUUUAAACAAUCCAUAUCUACCUUGUGUGCAACGUUGUGAGUCCCUCUAUCGUUAUCUUUUAUGUUACGAAAUAGGGAAUCUCUACAUCUUAACAACAUCACCUAAUUCUUAUUUGUAUGAACAUUUGUUAACACGCAUGAACUUAAUUCGCAAAUACAACUUUCAACAACGGAUCUCUUGGCUCUC
rnacentral:misc_RNA from 1 species